AUGCUCUCUUCGGCAGCACAUACACUAAAAUUGGAAAAAUACAGAGAUGAUUAGCAUGGCUCCUGCACAAGGAUGACAUGCAAAUUUAAAGCAUUUCAUCUUUUGU
ensembl:snRNA U6 U6 spliceosomal RNA